rnacentral:rRNA from 1 species
CCCUUAGAUGUCCUGGGCCGCACGCGCGCUACACUGAACGGAUCAGCGCGUUUUCCCUUCCCGAGAGGGACGGGUAACCUGCUGAACCCCGUUCGUGGUAGGGAUCGGGGCUUGCAAUUAUUCCCCGUGAACCAGGAAUGCCCAGUAAGUGCAAGUCAUAAGCUUGCGUUGAUUACGCCCCUGCCCUUUGUACACACCGCCCGUCGCUACUACCGAUUGAACGUUUUAGUGAGGUACUCGGACUGAGCCUCAGAAGAUUCACGUCUUUUGUGCUGCUCGGGAAGAUUCCCAAACUUGAGCGUUUAGAGGAAGUAAAAGUCGUAACA